rnacentral:rRNA from 1 species
AUUGAACGCUGGCGGCAUGCUUUACACAUGCAAGUCGAACGGUAACAGGGUGCUUGCACCGCUGACGAGUGGCGAACGGGUGAGUAAUGCGUCGGAACGUGCCGAGUAGUGGGGGAUAACGCAGCGAAAGUUGUGCUAAUACCGCAUACGUACUGAGGUAGAAAGUGGGGGACCUUCGGGCCUCACGCUAUUCGAGCGGCCGACGUCUGAUUAGCUAGUAGGUGAGGUAAAGGCUCACCUAGGCGACGAUCAGUAGCGGGUCUGAGAGGAUGAUCCGCCACACUGGGACUGAGACACGGCCCAGUCUCCUACGGGAGGCAGCAGUGGGGAAUUUUGGACAAUGGGCGAAAGCCUGAUCCAGCCAUGCCGCGUGUCUGAAGAAGGCCUUCGGGUUGUAAAGGACUUUUGUCAGGGAGGAAAUCCCUAGUGCUAAUAACACUGGGGGAUGACAGUACCUGAAGAAUAAGCACCGGCUAACUACGUGCCAGCCGCCGCGGUAAGAC